CCUACGGGUGGCUGCAGUGAGGAAUAUUGGUCAAUGGGCGCAAGCCUGAACCAGCCAUGCCGCGUGCAGGAUGACGGCCCUAUGGGUUGUAAACUGCUUUUGUACGGGAAGAAACAGAGGUUCGUGAACCUCCUUGACGGUACCGUAAGAAUAAGGAUCGGCUAACUCCGUGCCAGCAGCCGCGGUAAUACGGAGGAUCCAAGCGUUAUCCGGAAUCAUUGGGUUUAAAGGGUCCGUAGGCGGGCCUGUAAGUCAGUGGUGAAAUCUCCCGGCUC
rnacentral:rRNA from 1 species